CAGUCGGGUACGACUGAACGACUUCACUUUCACUUUUCACUUUCAUGCACUGGAGAAGGAAAUGGCAACCCACUCCAGUGUUCUUGCCUGGAGAAUCCCAGGGACGGGGAAGUCUGGUGGGCUGCCGUCUAUGGGGUCGCACAGAGUCGGACACGACUGAAGUGACUUAGCAGCAGCAGCAGCAGCAGCAGUGAGGUUGCUUUCACUAAAGUCAGGGAAGUAAAUUACCAUAAAUUAUGUUUGGGUUGGAUAUAAAAUGUUUACAUUUAUUUAUUUUUUAACUUUUUAUUUUAUAUUGGAGUAUACAUGACUGAAGCAACUUAGCAGCAGCAGCAUGUUUGGGUUGGAUAUAAAAUGUUUACAUUUAUUUAUUUUUUUAACUUUUUAUUUUAUAUUGGAGUAUACACGACUGAAGCAACUUAGCAGCAGCAGCAGCAUAGCUGAUUAACAAUGUUGUGAUAGUUUUCGGUGCACAGCAAAGCAACUCAGCCAUACAUAUAUAUGUAUCCAUUCUCCCCCAGACUCCCCUCCCAUUCAGGCUGCCAUAGAACAUUGAGUAGAGUUCCCUUGGCUAUACAGUAGGUCCUUGUUGGUUAUCCAUUUUAAAUACAGCAGUGUGUACAUGUCCAUCCCAAACUCCCUAACUAUCCCUACCCCUUAAACAUUUAGUUUUAGAAAUAAUGUCUUAUCUUUCCUUUUGACUAUUCUUUCUUUGUUUUUGUUUUUUUUUUUAGUUCCCUGACCAGGCAUCAAGCCCAGGGCCCUGGGCAGUGAAAACACUGAGUCCUAACCACUGGACAGCCAGGGAAUUCCACACCCUGACUUUUCAAUGUGCCAAAAUUUUUUCGACUGGAAAAAGCAAUCAUGAAUAAGAUUCAUUAAAAUAUGCAUCUGGCUGCAUCAUGUUUUGACAUUCAUCCGUUUUGUAACAGACCCUUUGUCGUGAUCCUCACCGUCAUCGCCCUUGCUGUGCUUGGAACUACUAAGUGUCACCUUGGUCCCCUUUCAAGGAAGUGCUUUUGCGCCAGCUGCUGGGAAAGUCGUCAGCUAAAAGUCUUCUCCCCUUCAAGGAUGGCCUUUUACACUUGCCUUUCCUGAGGCCACGCUCUUCCUCUCAUCCAGCGAUGGAUCCAUGCGGGGGUAUCAAUGCCCGGCCAUCUCAAGGAAGAAAGCUCUGCUCGACCGUUUCAUUCCAGAAGUUGCCAGAGAAGUCAGCUGAGGCUGUCUUUGGGGUUGCUUGGGAAUCAGUAUUUGCCCCUGCCCAAUCCUGCUUCCUCUCCCACCCUUCCGCAGGAGAUGGUCCCAACAGCAUCAUUUAUAAAUAAUAAACAUCCUCUGUGCUAAAUGGCA
rnacentral:lncRNA from 1 species